UGCUGGUCCGAAGGUAGUGAGUUACCGCGAUUGUUCACAGUCAGAUACAGAUCGAACUCCUUGUUCUACUCUUUCCCCCUUCUCACUACUGCACUUGACUAAUCUUAA
rnacentral:Y_RNA from 1 species